ensembl:snoRNA LOC120098688 small nucleolar RNA SNORA17
CCUGCCCCUAGAGGUGUUGCAGCUGUGGUUGCGUGUCCCAUGUGCAUCAGCAGAUGGCAGAGAGGAGGAAAGCUAUGUUUCCACUCAGUGUUCUGACCUGAAUCAUUCUGAACAUCUGAAUAAUUAAUAGCCUAACAUU